AACGAACGCUGGCGGCAUGCCUAACACAUGCAAGUCGAACGAUGCCUUCGGGCAUAGUGGCGCACGGGUGCGUAACGCGUGGGAAUCUGCCUUUCGGUUCGGAAUAACUCAGGGAAACUUGAGCUAAUACCGGAUAACGUCGCAAGACCAAAGAUUUAUCACCGAAAGAUGAGCCCGCGUAGGAUUAGCUAGUUGGUGAGGUAAAGGCUCACCAAGGCGACGAUCCCUAGCUGGUCUGAGAGGAUGAUCAGCCACACUGGGACUGAGACACGGCCCAGACUCCUACGGGAGGCAGCAGUGGGGAAUAUUGGACAAUGGGCGAAAGCCUGAUCCAGCAAUGCCGCGUGAGUGAUGAAGGCCUUAGGGUUGUAAAGCUCUUUUACCCGGGAAGAUAAUGACGGUACCGGGAGAAUAAGCCCCGGCUAACUCCGUG
rnacentral:rRNA from 1 species